rnacentral:rRNA from 1 species
UACGUAGGCAGCGAGCGUUGUUCGGAGUUACUGGGCGUAAAGAGUGCGUAGGCGGUGCUCUAAGUUUGGUGUGAAAUCUCCCGGCUCAACUGGGAGGGUGCGCCGAAAACUGGAGUGCUCGAGUAUGGGAGAGGUAAGCGGAAUUCCUGGUGUAGCGGUGAAAUGCGUAGAUAUCAGGAGGAACACCUGCGGUGUAGACGGCUUACUGGACCAUGACUGACGCUGAGGCACGAAAGCGUGGGAGCAAACAGG